rnacentral:lncRNA from 1 species
CUCAUGGGCCAACAAUAACAAUAAUAUUGUUUAAGCUAUCUGCUACCAAUUUUAAUGAAUUGAAGCAAAAUUAGCUAAGUUAAUUCGGUGCUGCUGAGUGUGUUGACACACUUGAAAAGAAGUUGGAGGUUUUUUUUUAAUCUUCCAACAUUAUGUAAUUUGUAGAAUAUAAUUAUUUUGCAAAGAAUGAAAAGCAUUUUGCAUUUUGAAUGAGAUUAACUAAACAUUUAAUUAAA